UUCCCUCAGUAGCGGCGAGCGAAGCGGGAUAAGCUCAAGUUUGAAAUCCGGGCUUGACUCGGAGUUGUAAGCUGAAGGGUCGUUGGCCGAAGCUGCCUGGGUCCAAUUUUCUUGGAACAGAAAGUCAUUGAGGGUGAGAACCCCGUUCAUGGCUCAGUGCUCCGCUUCCUAGUGCCGGCGCUCCCAAAGAGUCGGGUUGUUUGGGAAUGCAGCUCAAAAUGGGUGGUAAAUUUCAUCUAAAGCUAAAUAUUGGCAAGAGACCGAUAGCGAACAAGUAGAGUGAUCGAAAGGUGAAAAGCACUUUGAAAAGAGAGUGAAACAGUGCGUGAAAUUGUUGAAAGGGAAGCGCUUGGCAUCAGCCCGUGACUUCUGGCCAUCCCCCCAGCUAAUGUUGGGUGCACUGGCCUGGAGUUGGGCCAGCGUCGGCUCUGCCCGCCUUAGAAAGGCUGUGGGGACGUGGCUCCUUUUGGAGUGUUACAACCCGCAGCGGCAUGGGGUGAGGUGGGGCCGAGGUCUGCGGCGUAAGCCCAGGACGCUGGCACAAUGGUUCCAAGCGACCCGUCUUGAAACACGGACCAAGGAGUCUAACAUCUAUGCGAGUGUUUGGGUGUCAAGCUCAGCCGCGCAAUGAAAGUGAAUGUGGGCGGGAGCCUUUGGGCGCACCGUCGACCGGUCCGGAGGUUUA
rnacentral:rRNA from 1 species